rnacentral:tRNA from 1 species
CGGGGUAUAGCUCAGCUUGGUAGAGCACCUGGUUUGGGACCAGGGGGCCGGGGGUUCAAAUCCCUCUACCCCGACCA